rnacentral:rRNA from 1 species
UACAGAGGUCUCAAGCGUUGUUCGGAUUCAUUGGGCGUAAAGGGUGUGUAGGUGGCGCCGUAAGUCGGGUGUGAAAUUUCGGGAGCUUAACUCCGAAACUGCAUUCGAUACUGCGGUGCUUGAGGACUGGAGAGGAGACUGGAAUUCAUGGUGUAGCAGUGAAAUGCGUAGAGAUCAUGAGGAAGACCAGUGGCGAAGGCGGGUCUCUGGACAGUUCCUGACACUGAGACACGAAGGCCAGGGGAGCAAACGGG